rnacentral:tRNA from 1 species
GGCCGGGUAGCCAAGUGGUAAGGCAUGGGUCUGCAAAACCUAUAUUCACGGGUUCGAUUCCCGUUCCGGCCUCCA